rnacentral:lncRNA from 1 species
CUGGAGCAAGAGCCACGGGGUGGCUUGCAGGAGAGGACAGACAAUCUCAUGACAGACUUUGGCAGCCAGCUGAGUUUUUGCCUAUGGAGUCCCAAGAAAGGAACAGAUGCCAGCAUGUUCCUAAGUGAAAGAGAGGAAGGCUUUACAGCUGUAUCAGAGGACGGAGCCAGAAGCAGUGAGAAUCUGUGGCAGGGCGACCACUUGUGGCUGCAAGAGAUUUCCAACCUUUCUGAAUGGACGUCCUGAAAUGGAGAUGCCCUUAGCCAAAGGUAUGAGAACUGCUGUGCUCCCCCAUGCAAACAAAGCCAAAUAAAGACCAUCCAUUCAAUGGGGUUCUUGUUCUU